GAGCUCACUUUGCCAGCACAUAUAAUGAAACUGGAAUAAUAUGGAGAAGACUAGCAUGGCCACUGCACGGGCCGGGCACAGUGGCUCAAGCCUAAAUCCCAGCACUU
ensembl:snRNA U6 U6 spliceosomal RNA